GAAUUAUUGGGCGUAAAGAGCUCGUAGGCGGUUUGUCGCGUCUGCCGUGAAAGUCCGGGGCUUAACUCCGGAUCUGCGGUGGGUACGGGCAGACUUGAGUGAUGUAGGGGAGACUGGAAUUCCUGGUGUAGCGGUGAAAUGCGCAGAUAUCAGGAGGAACACCGAUGGCGAAGGCAGGUCUCUGGGCAUUAACUGACGCUGAGGAGCGAAAGCAUGGGGAGCGAACAGGAUUAGAUACCCUGGUAGUCCAUGCCGUAAACGUUGGGCACUAGGUGUGGGGGACAUUCCACGUUUUCCGCGCCGUAGCUAACGCAUUAAGUGCCCCGCCUGGGGAGUACGGCCGCAAGGCUAAAACUCAAAGGAAUUGACGGGGGCCCGCACAAGCGGCGGAGCAUGCGGAUUAAUUCGAUGCAACGCGAAGAACCUUACCAAGGCUUGACAUGAACCGGAACGGCGCAGAGAUGUGUCGGCCACUUGUGGCCGGUUUACAGGUGGUGCAUGGUUGUCGUCAGCUCGUGUCGUGAGAUGUUGGGUUAAGUCCCGCAACGAGCGCAACCCUCGUUCCAUGUUGCCAGCGGGUUAUGCCGGGGACUCAUGGGAGACUGCCGGGGUCAACUCGGAGGAAGGUGGGGACGACGUCAAAUCAUCAUGCCCCUUAUGUCUUGGGCUUCACGCAUGCUACAAUGGCCGGUACAAAGGGUUGCGAUGCUGUGAGGUGGAGCUAAUCCCAAAAAGCCGGUCUCAGUUCGGAUUGAGGUCUGCAACUCGACCUCAUGAAGUCGGAGUCGCUAGUAAUCGCAGAUCAGCAACGCUGCGGUGAAUACGUUCCCGGGCCUUGUACACACCGCCCGUCAAGUCACGAAAGUUGGUAACACCCGAAGCCGGUGGCCUAACCCCUUGGGGAGGGAGC
rnacentral:rRNA from 1 species